AUUGAACGCUGGCGGCAGGCCUAACACAUGCAAGUCGAGCGGAUCGGCGGCCGGGUGCGUGAUGCCUAGGUAUCUGCCUGUUAGUGGUGGAUAACGUCCGCAACCGGGCGCUAUUACCGCAUCCUCUCACCUUCGCCUAGGUCGGAUUAGCUAGUUGGUGGGGUAAAGGCCUACCAAGGCGACGAUCCGUAACUGGUCUGAGAGGAUGAUCAGCCACACUGGAACUGAGACACGGUCCAGACUCCUACGGGAGGCAGCAGUGGGGAAUAUUGGACAAUGGGCGAAAGCCUGAUCCAGCCAUGCCGCGUGUGUGAAGAAGGUCUUCGGAUUGUAAAGCACUUUAAGUUGGGAGGCGUUACCAACAGAAUAAGCACCGGCUAACUUCGUGCCAGCAGCCGCGGUAAUUC
rnacentral:rRNA from 1 species